UACGGGGGGGGCAAGCGUUGUUCGGAAUUACUGGGCGUAAAGGGCUCGUAGGCGGCCAACUAAGUCAGACGUGAAAUCCCUCGGCUUAACCGGGGAACUGCGUCUGAUACUGGAUGGCUUGAGGUUGGGAGAGGGAUGCGGAAUUCCAGGUGUAGCGGUGAAAUGCGUAGAUAUCUGGAGGAACACCGGUGGCGAAGGCGGCGAUCCUGGACCAAUUCUGACGCUGAGGAGCGAAAGCCAGGGGAGCAAAACGGGG
rnacentral:rRNA from 1 species